GAUGAAGACGUAGCGAAAUGCGAUAAGUAAUGCGAAUUGCAGAAUUCAGUGAAUCAUCGAAUCUUUGAACGCACAUUGCGCCCGCCAGUAUUCUGGCGGGCAUGCCUGUUCGAGCGUCAUUUCAACCCUCAAGCACAGCUUGGUGUUGGGACUCGCGUUAAUUCGCGUUCCCCAAAUUGAUUGGCGGUCACGUCGAGCUUCCAUAGCGUAGUAGUAAAACCCUCGUUACUGGUAAUCGUCGCGGCCACGCCGUUAAACCCCAACUUCUGAAUGUUGACCUCGGAUCAGGUAGGAAUACCCGCUGAACUUAAGCAUAUCAAUAAGCGGAGGA
rnacentral:misc_RNA from 1 species